rnacentral:rRNA from 1 species
GAUGAACGCUGGCGGCGUGCCUAAUACAUGCAAGUCGAGCGAACGGACGAGAAGCUUGCUUCUCUGAUGUUAGCGGCGGACGGGUGAGUAACACGUGGAUAACCUACCUAUAAGACUGGGAUAACUUCGGGAAACCGGAGCUAAUACCGGAUAAUAUUUUGAACCGCAUGGUUCAAAAGUGAAAGACGGUCUUGCUGUCACUUAUAGAUGGAUCCGCGCUGCAUUAGCUAGUUGGUAAGGUAACGGCUUACCAAGGCAACGAUGCAUAGCCGACCUGAGAGGGUGAUCGGCCACACGGGAACUGAGACACGGUCCAGACUCCUACGGGAGGCAGCAGUAGGGAAUCUUCCGCAAUGGGCGAAAGCCUGACGGAGCAACGCCGCGUGAGUGAUGAAGGUCUUCGGAUCGUAAAACUCUGUUAUUAGGGAAGAACAUAUGUGUAAGUAACUGUGCACAUCUUGACGGUACCUAAUCAGAAAGCCACGGAUAACUACGUG